GAUGAACGCUGACAGAAUGCUUAACACAUGCAAGUCUUUGGCGAAGCUGUGCUUGCACAGCCUAGCCAAGGCGGACGGGUGAGUAACGCGUAAGGAACUUGCCCUGCAGUCAGGGAUAACAGACGGAAACGACUGAUAAGACCUGGUAAAGUCAGGCGGACUCAUGUCCAGCCUGAUGAAAAGAGAUGCUGCAGGAGAGCCUUGCGCCCUAUUAGCUUGUUGGUGGGGUAACGGCCCACCAAGGCGAUGAUAGGUAGCCGGCCUGAGAGGGUGGACGGCCACAAGGGGACUGAGAUACGGCACUUACUCCUACGGGAGGCAGCAGUGGGGAAUAUUGGACAAUGGGGGCAACCCUGAUCCAGAAAUUCUGUGUGCACGAUGAAGGUUUUCGGAUUGUAAAGUGCUUUCAGCAGGGAAGAAAAAAAUGACGGUACCUGCAGAAGAAGCGACGGCUAAAUACGUG
rnacentral:rRNA from 1 species